GAUGAAGAACGUAGCGAAAUGCGAUAAGUAAUGUGAAUUGCAGAAUUCAGUGAAUCAUCGAAUCUUUGAACGCACCUUGCGCCCUUUGGCCAUUCCGAAGGGCAUGCCUGUUUGAGUAUCAUGAACACCUCAACUCUUCAUGGUUUUCCAUGAUGAGCUUGGACUUUGGGGGUCUUGCUGGCCUGUGGGUCGGCUCCUCUCAAAUGAAUCAGCUUGCCGGUUUUUGGUGGGCAUCACAGGUGUGAUAACUAUCUACGCUUGUGGUUUUCCACCAGGGUAACCUUCAGCAGUGGAGGUUCACUGGAGCUUACAGAUGUCUCUCCUCUGUGAGGACAGCCCUUUGAAUGUUUGAUCUCAAAUCAGGUAGGACUACCCGCUGAACUUAAGCAUAUCAAUAAGCGGAGGA
rnacentral:misc_RNA from 1 species